UACGUAGGGGGCAAGCGUUGUCCGGAAUUAUUGGGCGUAAAGAGCGCGUAGGCGGUCCGAUAAGUCGGCUGUGAAAGUCAGGGGCUCAACCCUUGAAAGCCGGCCGAUACUGUCGGACUAGAGUCCGGAAGAGGCAAGUGGAAUUCCCGGUGUAGCGGUGAAAUGCGCAGAUAUCGGGAGGAACACCAAUGGGCGAAGGCAGCUUGCUGGGACGUUACUGACGCUGGAGACGCGAAAGCGUGGGGAGCAAACAGG
rnacentral:rRNA from 1 species